rnacentral:lncRNA from 1 species
UGUGCAAAACGAUGCUUUAUUUCACUACGGCCAUCCUUCUAAUGAUGGCUAUUUGAUAUGGCACAAUUCAGGGUUAUUUUGAUCUUCUUACAUAAUAGCAAAAAGUAUGUGACCAACAAGGCCCACCACCAUGUGGUGGAUUUGGCAUAGAUUAAACAGCAGUGUUUAAUCACCUACUGUGAUUUAUGGGAGCAGUAUUAACCUGUCUGGUUUAGAAAGUCCACGUGGCAGAUGCCUCCUCCAGUAGAUGAUAAAAUUGAUCUAGCACUUUCUCCUAAUUCAGGUUGACCACAGAGUUGGUGGGACCCACUAGACCAGAUGCUGGGACAUCACUUGGAUACUCCUUUCCUGGUAGACAUUUCCUUCUGCCGGUCUUGGCGCCCCAUGAAAGGAAGAAUUUUCCAACACGGAUUUUGCUGCUUAGAUUUUUCUCGGUUACAUGCUGGGGAAGGCGGGCUCUUGGCCAGAGAGACUUCUUCCUGUCCUGUUUCAUCUCUCCCAUUCCUGAGGUAAGUGCCUUUUCUGAGGCAGUCACUGCUGAUGUGUUUUGCUGAUUCCCUUGCAAAACAAAUGUGAUGAUUUUUAAAAAUAGACUUUCUUAUUAUACAUUCACCAAACCUAGAACCGAUGUGAAUUCCAUUCUUUUCAGAAUUAUGGGGAAAUGACCCAUACACUUUGCUCUUACAAUUAUUUGACAUUCCAUUUUAUCAGUCUCUAUGGGUGUACAGGUUUCUGACACAAUACUAGGCAUGAGAUAUAGAUUCUUUAACAAAGUAAAUAAGUUAAAUAGUGGGUGUUAAUCACAAUGGACUUUAACUUUUGAUAAAUGGUUUUCUUCCAAAAAUAUUUGUCUUGCUGAGAUUCAUUUAGAAAAUUUGAGGAAGAUCUUCAACAGAAAAUACAAGACAAAUUCUCUUACACUCCAAAUAGGCCCCUGUAUUUUCAGACAAUAUAUUCUUACUUCUCAGAUAAUUGUAAUUCAUCACGGCAAAAAGUAAAACUCAGAUAGGUACCAUGAGUUUAACAGCAAUAGACCCCAACCUGGACACAUAUGUUGUUUCAGAGAUUUAGCUUUUAACGUCAAGGUUAAAAAGGUGAACCAAGAAUCUCUUCCAGAUUAGUGUCAGAUAGACUGAGGAUGUUUGCAGUGGAUAGUUACAGGAGGAGCAGGAAUUAAGUAAUUUGAACUGGAUGCCUCUUUCUGUCAAACACUGAGAUAUUCAUAAUUUCCAGAUUAUGAAUAUUUAUUGUUUAACCGCCUGGUAAUGACUUUGAUACAAGUAAGAGGUCCUUAAAGUAAAAUAACUUGGUAUUUGUGGAGGAAAAAAAUAACUGUGUAUAAAAUGCUAACAGUACAAUCUCACAAGUAGCCCAUUUACUUUUUGGACUCAUUUUCGCAGUCAGAUUUACGCAGUGUAUUUUUGGAUUUUAUUUGCUGGUUUCAAGCUGUAAAAUAAGUUACAAUAUGUGUGUGCAUGUGCAUUUGUCUGUGCAUCUGUGUGUAAACCAGAAACUACCAAUAAUAAUGUGCUUGCUGCUUCUUAAGUUAUGUGGGCAUACUGUAAUUUAUGUCCUUCCCUUUUGACACUGUAAUCCUUUCAUAGGAAUGUCACAUGCAGUUUAAUUCUUCUUCUCCUCUGUAUUUUUGAUUUAAUUGCUAUAAUCAGUGCAAAUACUUCCUCAUUUACAUACAUUUCCCUCUGUGUAUGCAUAUGCAUACAGAUCUACACAAAAUAGUUUCUCCAAAUGCAUUUCAAAUCACCAGAGUGAAAUAUCUGAGAGCAAGUAACACAACUGAAGUAAAAAAAAAAACCAACAACCAAAAAAGCCCCAAACCCCAGAGUCUUACCUUGUCAAGACAGACAUAAAGCAGGAUGGAAAGCACUGCACAGUAGCAUUUUGCAUUUUCCGGAACAAAAUAAGUGAGGGACUUCCGGAUGCAUGAAUGGCUUUUCAGGUUUAUUUUAUUAUUAUUGGCUUCCUGAUGGUGUUCAGCAAGGAAAUAGCUGAGCACAUUAGCAGCUUUAAUGUUCCUUCUCAUUUCAGUUCACCUCUGAGGUAAAAAUUUAUGUUAAUUCUGUGGGUGGGGAACUGCCUCAAUUUAGAAAGCAUCUAUCACAUGUGAAUCUAAUUAGAUUGCAUGCUCAUGUAAAACAUCCCAUGUUAAAACGGGCCUUUUUUCAUCAAUAUUUCCAUUACAGUGCCAGGUUUCCUAGUGAUGAUGUCAGUACAAUGCCAGCUUUUACAAUGAUUUAAUAAUAAACACUUUAUCUUUGAUAUAUGAAGGAGCCA